UACGAAGGGGGCUAGCGUUGCUCGGAAUCACUGGGCGUAAAGCGCGCGUAGGCGGGUCCUUAAGUGAGGGGUGAAAGGUUCGGGCUUAACCCGGACACUGCCUUUCAUACUGGGGACCUUGAGUGCGGGAGAGGCGAGUGGAAUGGUCGGUGUAGCGGUGAAAUGCGUAGAGAUCAGCAGGAACACCCGUGGCGAAGGCGGCCCCCUGGGCCGUACCUGACGCUGAGGCGCGAAGGCUAGGGGAGCGAACGGG
rnacentral:rRNA from 1 species